rnacentral:RNase_P_RNA from 1 species
GGCAGCGGAAACGAUCAUGUUUACGAGGAAAGUCCGGGCAUCACAGAGCAGGGUAACUGAUAACAUCAGCCGGAGGCGACUCCCGGGCAAGUGCAACAGAAAAUAAACCGCCUGCUUUUGCAGGUAAGGGUGGAAUGGUGAGGUAAGAGCUCACCGGGGUACAGGUAACUGUACCGCCGUGUAAACCCUAUCCGAUGCAACGCCUAUUGGUACUCUUAUAUCAACAUUUGCUCGAUGGAUAUAUGAGUAAUGGCGGCUGGAGCCUGCGGGCGACUGCAGGCCUAGAUAAAUUGCCGUACACGACAGAACCCGGCUUAUCGGUCCGCUCA